UACGGAGGGUGCAAGCGUUUGUCCGGAAUUAUUGGGCGUAAAGAGCUCGUAGGCGGUUUUGUCGCGUCUGCUGUGAAAACUCGGGGCUUAACCCCCGGGCCUGCAGUGGGUACGGGGCAGACUAGAGUGCGGUAGGGGAGACUGGAAUUCCUGGUGUAGCGGUGAAAAUGCGCAGAUAUCAGGAGGAACACCGGUGGGCGAAGGCGGGGUCUCUGGGGCCUAACUGACGCUGAGGAGCGAAAAGCGUGGGGGAGCAAACAGG
rnacentral:rRNA from 1 species